AAUGUUGCCUUCAGGGAGGGAGACCAUCGCAGCCUUUCUGCAUUCCCUCCCUCGGCCCGGGGGUGUCGGGCCGGAAGCUGCGGAGUCUCGGGUCGGGGUUUGCUCCCGCCGAGAGCCUUGAGCCGUUGGUGCGCAUGCUCUGUGGAGGCCCGCACAGGCCCUGAGUGAACUCUGAUAGAGCCUUCGCGAGGCGGGCCCCAGAUUCGAAAUGAAGAGCCCCACGCCACAUGAAAUGUGAGCAAGUCCACCCACCUCAUCUACCCUGGCGGCCAGUUCCUCGUUGGACCAGAUCCCUUCUAUCAUAAGCUCCUCCUCAGCACAUGGUUAUUACUGGAAUGCUGGUGGUUUGGGCAACUCUUUUUCUGGUGAGAUGGUGCAGUGGGAAGGGACAUUGACUAUUUGAAGAGCAAACAACCAAGAUAAAAUCUUAAAAGCAGGCAGAGAGAAAAGAUACAGAAGACUCACACUGACUUCUCAAGUGAAACAAUGGAAGCCAAAAGACAAUAAAGUAAUAUCUUCAAAGCCCUGAAAGAGAAUAACUACGAGUGGAAGUCUAUGCAAGCACAGAUAUCCUUCCAAAAUAAAGAGGAAAUAAAUACGCUUUUAGAAAAACAACGCUUGAGAAAUCUCAUCACCAGCUGACCUGCACAAAAGGAAAUCCUAAAGGGUGUUCUUCAGGCAGAAGGAAAAUAAACUCAAAUGUAAUCUGGGAGAUGCAGGAAGGAAUGAAGAACAAUAGAAAAGGUACAUCCCACUUCCAGCGGGCUGUCCCUCGGUGCUGGCUUGGCUUCUUGGGAAAAGAGUGAAGAGUCAGAGCCUACACGCUGCUGCUGAGCUCCACAGCCUCCAUCUUGCCUCCUCCUGUUUAGACGAUGCGGGUCUAGUUCUGGGAAGCCCUUCCACCAGGUAAGUGAUGGCAGGCUGGGCACUGCGCCCUUAUCACACCGUAGCUCCUGGCCCACCAGGCCUGCCUGGGAGGCC